GUGAGGCGCGCCUAGGGUUCCGCCGCGUUGCGACGCGGGUCUGGUCCGAGAGGCGCAGGCGGACUGCGGCGUCCGUUCCACGGCGGGAGAAAAGCCCGGGAGAC
rnacentral:sRNA from 2 species